GACGGAGGGUGCAAGCGUUGUUCGGAAUUAUUGGGCGUAAAGAGCGUGUAUUCGGUUUGUUAAAUCUGAUGUGAAAGCCCCGGACUCAACCCGAGAAGUGCAUUGGAAACUGGCUUACUUGACUACGGGAGAGGAUAGUGGAAUUUCGAGUGUAGGGUUGAAAUCCGUACAUAUUCUAAGGAACACCGGGGGCGAACGCGGCUAUCUGCAUCGAUACUGAUGCUGAGACGCGAAAGCGUGGGGAGCAAUCAGGAUUAGAUACCCUGGUAGUCCACGCCGUAAACGAUGGGUACUAGGUGUCGCGGGUAUUGACCCCUGCGGUGCCGAAGCUAACGCAUUAAGUACCCCGCCUGGGGAGUACGGCCGCAAGGCUAAAUCUCAAAGGAAUUGACGGGGGGCCGCACAAGCGGUGGAGCAUGUGGUUUAAUUCGACGCAACGCGAAGAACCUUACCUGGGUUUGACAUCCCGAUCGCAUUCCAUGGAAACAUGGGAGUCAGUUCGGCCGGAUCGGUGACAGGUGCUGCAUGGCUGUCGUCAGCUCGUGUCGUGAGACGUUGGGUUAAGUCCCGCACCGAGCGCACCCCUUGUCCUUAGUUGCCAUCAUUUGGUUGGGCACUCUAAGGAGACUGCCGGUGUUAAUCCGGAGGAAGGUGGGGAUGACGUCAAGUCCUCAUGGCCCUUAUGUCCAGGGUUACACACGUGCUACAAUGCCCGGUACAAAGGGUCGUGAAACCGUGAGGUGGAUCCAAUUCCAAAAAGCCGGUCUCAGUUUGGAUUGGAGUCUGCAACUGGAGUCCAUGAAGUUGGAAUCGGUAGUAAUCGCGGAUCAGCAUCACGCGGUGAAUUCGUUGACGGGCCU
rnacentral:rRNA from 1 species